GGUGCCAUCUAUAUUGGCCAUUGAAUGGUCAUUGGAUGGGAUUCUAUCCGUUGGAUAGAGUGGGCGCCCCUUAUGAAACCUUGCGAUACUUCGAAAAAACACCAAAAAUUAUUUGCACACUGAAGAGUCCUUCUGCGAGGUGUCUUUCAAAUUAAUUCCUGAUGUUUAUCCAUAUGUCAUAAGAUUUUUGCUGAUGAGCAUAAGAUGAGGUGAAUGGGUGUG
rnacentral:lncRNA from 1 species